CAUUUUUAUUGUUCAUUACUGAAUGUAUCGCUUUAUUAAACUGAUGAUCUUCAAGUUGGUGGCAAGCUUGCAAGACUAACUAACUAGAUCCUGUUCCUGUUCUCCUGGGGCUGUGGAGCUGCUUUAAUGCACUAGAAAACGCCGUUUAUCACAAGAGUUUCCUGUGUCUAAUCUGUCAUUGUUGCAAGCGAUGGAUCAAACCAUCUUAAAGGAAGAACCCCCACAGAGAUCCACAUGGAAAUAGGUCCAUUGGAA